GAUGAACGCUGGCGGCGUGCCUAAUACAUGCAAGUCGAGCGAACGGACUAGAAGCUUGCUUUUCUGAUGUUAGCGGCGGACGGGUGAGUAACACGUGGAUAACCUACCUAUAAGACUGGGAUAACUUCGGGAAACCGGAGCUAAUACCGGAUAAUAUUUUGAACCGCAUGGUUCAAAAGUGAAAGACGGUCUUGCUGUCACUUAUAGAUGGAUCCGCGCUGCAUUAGCUAGUUGGUAAGGUAACGGCUUACCAAGGCAACGAUGCAUAGCCGACCUGAGAGGGUGAUCGGCCACACUGGAACUGAGACACGGUCCAGACUCCUACGGGAGGCAGCAGUAGGGAAUCUUCCGCAAUGGGCGAAAGCCUGACGGAGCAACGCCGCGUGAGUGAUGAAGGUCUUCGGAUCGUAAAACUCUGUUAUUAGGGAAGAACAUAUGUGUAAGUAACUGUGCACAUCUUGACGGUACCUAAUCAGAAAGCCACGGCUAACUACGUG
rnacentral:rRNA from 1 species